rnacentral:lncRNA from 1 species
CCACUGCUUCAUACUCCAAAGGCAGAUGAAAAACUCUACUUAUACUUGGCAGUCUCCGAGAUCGCGGUAAGUGGUGUCCUAGUUCGAGAAGAGAAAGGUACGCAAUUUCCUGUUUAUUAUGUAAGUCGAACUCUUGGAGAAGCAGAAACUAGAUAUCCAUACUUAGAGCAAUUGGCACUUGCAUUAAUAAGCGCCUCUAGGAAGCUAAAACCGUAUUUUCAAUGUCACCCCAUAUGUGUAUUAACCACUUACCC